AUAGUUUAAGCUGAUAAACGAGAGAGGCAAAGGGUUUAACCACAGACCUCCAAACAGAGCCUGGUCUCCACAGAGCAGGGAUAGAGCACUUCCAUUCCUCCCUUCUUCCUCUCUCUCUUCACUUACUGUCUCAUUCCUGCUCUCCGAAUCAUUCCAGCAUUGCAAAGAAGCUCGGGGUGAACAGAGAAUCUCGUUUUUGUGACUGUGGCGCUCUGAGACCCUGUGAGCGGGAUGAUCUGCAUUUGGGCUAAACUGUCCUUGGGAACUACGCCACAAUCCCCAUCAGCAAGCAACGACAGAGCUGGCAGAGCUCCGUAUGGACGGCACUUUGGAGAGUCGACUUCGAGAGGAAAACAGGAAAGGGAGAGAAGUGAUGGAAAUAAACAAGAAAGAACGCAUGAAAUAAGAUCAAGUCUCCGUGUUUGUCAGAGCGGAUGGGAUGUAGAGGCUAAUUAAGAGAUGGAUAACAGAGAUUAGAAAGAGUGAGUGAAACAAAAGAUGCCAUUGCGAAUGGACUCAGGAUGGAGUAGGUACCAACACACUAGGAUGUGUUUUGCUUUCACACACACACACAAUGCACAACAUCUUUGUAAAUGUUUCCUUCCUCAUGCAUCAUGUCAGAGCACAGCACAGAUUGGCAAAUAUCCUAACAUUGUCUUAUUUGCAAUUUAGCAGACUUUUUUUUGCCUAUUUACAAUUGUCAGAUAGAAAUGAAUAGCUAAGGCAACUGAAAUAUAGUAGGAUGGUGGCAUAUUCAUUCCUCAAAAAUGUGGGGUUGAACCUCCAACCUAAAGACUGGAAGCCUGAAGAAAGCCUGAAAAUAAAUAAAUAAAAUGAACAAAUAAAUAAGUACAAAAUUGGGAAAA